GACGAACACUGGCGGCGUGCUUAACACAUGCAAGUCGAACGGUAAGGCCCUUCGGGGUACACGAGUGGCGAACGGGUGAGUAACACGUGGGUGAUCUGCCCUGCACUUCGGGAUAAGCCUGGGAAACUGGGUCUAAUACCGGAUAGGACCACUGCCUGCAUGGGUGGUGGUGGAAAGCUUUUGUGGUGUGGGAUGGGCCCGCGGCCUAUCAGCUUGUUGGUGGGGUGAUGGCCUACCAAGGCGACGACGGGUAGCCGGCCUGAGAGGGUGACCGGCCACACUGGGACUGAGAUACGGCCCAGACUCCUACGGGAGGCAGCAGUGGGGAAUAUUGCACAAUGGGCGCAAGCCUGAUGCAGCGACGCCGCGUGAGGGAUGACGGCCUUCGGGUUGUAAACCUCUUUCAGCACCGACGAAGCGCAAGUGACGGUAGGUGCAGAAGAAGGACCGGCCAACUACGUGCCAGCAGCCGCCGUAA
rnacentral:rRNA from 1 species